UAUGGAGGGUGCGAGCGUUGUCCGGAAUCAUUGGGCGUAAAGGGCGCGUAGGUGGCCCGGUCAGUCAGUGGUGAAAGCGCGGGGCUCAACUCCGCGUCGGCCAUUGAUACUGCUGGGCUUGAGCACUGUAGAGGCAGGCGGAAUUCCGGGUGUAGCGGUGGAAUGCGUAGAUAUCUGGAGGAACACCGGUGGCGAAGGCGACAUCCUGGACCAACACUGACGCUGAGGAGCGAAAGCCAGGGGAGCAAACGGG
rnacentral:rRNA from 1 species